AGAGACAAACAUAUGCCCAAGCAUUUUGAGCUUGUUGGCCCAUGAUCAUAAAGUCUAAGUUCUCUAUUACUCUGUUCUCAGUAUGCGGAAGUACUACGCUAGGCAUAAACAGAGGAUUGAUCUUUGCAAAUUAGUUGUUUCUGCUAAACCCUGCUUCAACAUCUUCGCUAGCCAUGGUACUGCCACCACUAGUUGCCUCACUUUGCGGCAGUAACAGUGCCAAUUCAUGGUCAUGGAAUGGCUUUUGUAUGUCCCUGGAACCAUGACAUACAGACUGUGUGGCAGUAAAGCUAUGACAAGUAUGUUCGUCUUUCCAGUUCCUGCAUAGAAGAACAAUUUUCAGGUUAUUUCUUUUGCUAUAAGGAGUCUACUCCUUUUGAUUGUUUUAAUUUGUUAAUGUCCAAGAUAUGGUUUGCUCUUGAUGUGUA